GCCAGCUAUCUAGCUUGUGGUGCUAAGCUGACUGGUUGGUUGGUGACUCUGGAUCGGAGAGACCGAACGAAGCCGGACCGAAGUCCCCACCAACCAACUUGCGUCGCGGGAGAGAGAGAGCCAAAGAGAGAGAGAGAGACCAAACCCGCGACACGAGUAGGACGUAUGCAUCGUGUAUGUACCGCAUGCCAGCCAACCAACUCGCGGGAGAUGUGUAAGUCAGAGGUGUAUCUCAUCCUCGAAAGAGUCGCCGUCGUCGUCGUCUUUGACUUUGACACGAGACAGUAAGGUACGGACAGCACCGACCGAGGAUCGGCAUAAAAUGUCCGUCAAAGUAGCGAAGUAUCGUCCCCGUUGAGCCACCGUCAUUCGACGAUCGUCACGUUCCUUUGGAGAUUACGUCACUCGAGGCGUUGAAUGUCUCCCGUCUCAUCUCCCGAGGAAGCUUCGUCAGCCGGUCAAGCGUCGAAGACGGCAAAUCGACGAAAAUGGAUGUCAGGUAAUCAGAGCGACGGACCGCGGUCGUCUUACACGGUAAACGGUAGAUCCUCCUAGCCGCGACUUCAGGGACGAAUUCACGCACAGCUGACUGUGUCCCUUCAUGGCGUACGAAGGCUCCGUUCCUAUGCUCGACGAGCAUCUGCUACCUGUUGCUUCUUCCCGCGGGCAGUUUUUCCUCGGAUUCGCUGCCGCCGCUGCCGGGCUUCGGAACCCCAGCAGGCAGCUUACCAGCAGUGGCUACGCGACUACUUAUACUUUACUCAGCUAGCUAUUAAUCUACUCAGCUCAGGCUGUUUACCCGGCACGUUAGAGUUGGUCGGUUAGUAACUGCGCCUGCAGUGUUUAUACAGAAGUCUGCUUGCACAGCAGGGACAGCAGCUCAAGUCCGAACCGCAACCUGAGUUCAGAAGACUACCUUGAUAAUGGGUAAGCAGAACACGUAUCGACGUAAUGAUACAUACCGGGACUUGCCUGGCUGGCAAUCAGUUCUACGCACGUUGAGUAUUAAAAAGUCAUGCUCGUCCAACGAGCCGAUGUGCUCGUUUCUCUGUUAGCUGCUUAAGUGACGUUUUUAUUAUCUUCUUUUUUUCAUUAUAAUUGUAUUUAACACACGAUACCGACCGAG